rnacentral:rRNA from 1 species
CGGCGAGUGAAGCGGCAACAGCUCAAAUUUGAAAGCCCGCGGGCGUUGUAAUUUGCAGGCGGAUGUUUUGGGGCGGGCGCUGUCUACGUUCCUUGGAACAGGACGCCGCAGAGGGUGAGAGCCCCGUGCGAUGGCGCCUCCAACCGCGUAAAACUCCGCCGACGAGUCGAGUUGUUUGGGAAUGCAGCUCCAAGUGGGUGGUAAAUUCCAUCUAAAGCUAAAUACUGGCGAGAGACCGAUAGCGAACAAGUACAGUGAUGGAAAGAUGAAAAGCACUUUGAAAAGAGAGUGAAACAGCACGUGAAAUUGUUGAAAGGGAAGGGUAUGCGAUUAGCGGCCAGCAGGAGGUGCCUUCUCGUGAAAAGGCCGUGCACCGUCUUCGGACACCGUGCGCGGAGAUGGCGAGGGGGCGCCUGAGGUCUGCGACUCGAGGUUGCUGGCGUAAUGAUUGCAUACCACCCGUCUUGAACCACGGAC